rnacentral:rRNA from 1 species
UACGUAGGGGGCAAGCGUUGUCCGGAUUUAUUGGGCGUAAAGAGCGUGUAGGCGGCCUGAAAGGUCAGCUGUGAAAACUCGAGGCUCAACCUCGAGACGUCGGUUGAAACCAUCUGGCUAGAGUCCGGAAGAGGAGUGUGGAAUUCCCGGUGUAGCGGUGAAAUGCGCAGAUAUCGGGAAGAACACCCGUGGCGAAGGCGGCUCUCUGGGACGGUACUGACGCUGAGACGCGAAAGCGUGGGGAGCAAACAGG